GGUGAGAUGGCAGAGGAUGCAAGUGUCUGAGAAACUACGUUCUGGCAACAUAAUUCUGCAAUUCCAAUGUUAAGUGUGAAAAGCAAACAUACUCCUACAGGAUGAGUUAACAGCUGAGAGAAACUGUCAAGGAUGGCUUCAGGGAAUGCAGAAGAGUCAGAAAGCGAUCCCUGCUGAAAGGUCGCUAGUAUGUGUGAUGAAACCAGAUGAGUUCUGGAACCGAC